rnacentral:rRNA from 1 species
UACGUAGGGUGCAAGCGUUGUCCGGAAUUAUUGGGCGUAAAGAGCGUGUAGGCGGUCCGGUAAGUCCGCUGUGAAAGUCGGGGGCUCAACCCUCGAAUGCCGGUGGAUACUGUCGGGCUAGAGUGCGGAAGAGGCGAGUGGAAUCCUGGUGUAGCGGUGAAAUGCGCAGAUAUCAGGAGGAACACCUAUUGCGAAGGCAGCUCGCUGGGACGUAACUGACGCUGAGAACGCGAAAGCGUGGGGAGCAAACAGG